CCGGGGUCUAUUACCGGAUACUGAUCCUCGCAGGCAUCUGCGAGGUUCGAAAGCUCCGGCGGUGCAGGAUGAGCCCGCGGCCUAUCAGCUAGUUGGUGAGGUAACGGCUCACCAAGGCGACGACGGGUAGCCGGCCUGAGAGGGCGACCGGCCACACUGGGACUGAGACACGGCCCAGACUCCUACGGGAGGCAGCAGUGGGGAAUAUUGCACAAUGGGCGAAAGCCUGAUGCAGCGACGCCGCGUGAGGGAUGACGGCCUUCGGGUUGUAAACCUCUUUCAGCAGGGAAGAAGCGAAAGUGACGGUACCUGCAGAAGAAGCGCCGGCUAACUACGUGCCAGCAGCCGCGGUAAUACGUAGGGCGCAAGCGUUGUCCGGAAUUAUUGGGCGUAAAGAGCUCGUAGGCGGCUUGUCACGUCGGUUGUGAAAGCCCGGGGCUUAACCC
rnacentral:rRNA from 1 species